rnacentral:rRNA from 1 species
CGGCGAGCGGCGGACGGGUGAGGAAUACAUCGGAAUCUACCCAGUCGUGGGGGAUAACGUAGGGAAACUUACGCUAAUACCGCAUACGACCUGAGGGUGAAAGCAGGGGACCGCAAGGCCUUGCGCGAUUGGAUGAGCCGAUGUCCGAUUAGCUAGUUGGCGGGGUAAAAGCCCACCAAGGCGACGAUCGGUAGCUGGUCUGAGAGGAUGAUCAGCCACACUGGAACUGAGACACGGUCCAGACUCCUACGGGAGGCAGCAGUGGGGAAUAUUGGACAAUGGGCGCAAGCCUGAUCCAGCCAUGCCGCGUGUGUGAAGAAGGCCUUCGGGUUGUAAAGCACUUUUGUCCGGAAAGAAAUCCUGUCGGUUAAUACCUGGCGGGGAUGACGGUACCGGAAGAAUAAGCACCGGCUAACUUCGUGCCAGCAGCCGCGGUAAUACGAAGGGUGCAAGCGUUACUCGGAAUUACUGGGCGUAAAGCGUGCGUAGGCGGUUCGUUAAGUCAGAUGUGAAAGCCCCGGGCUCAACCUGGGAAUUGCAUUUGAUACUGGCGGGCUAGAGUACGGUAGAGGGUGGUGGAAUUCCCGGUGUAGCAGU